rnacentral:rRNA from 1 species
AUUGAACGCUGGCGGCAGGCUUAACACAUGCAAGUCGAGCGGGGUGAUGGUGCUUGCACUAUCACUUAGCGGCGGACGAGUGAGUAAUGCUUAGGAAUCUGCCUAUUAGUGGGGGACAACAUCUCGAAAGGGAGGCUAAUACCGCAUACGUCCUACGGGAGAAAGCAGGGGAUCACUUGUGACCUUGCGCUAAUAGAUGAGCCUAAGUCGGAUUAGCUAGUUGGUGAGGUAAAGGCCUACCAAGGCGACGAUCUGUAGCGGGUCUGAGAGGAUGAUCCGCCACACUGGGACUGAGACACGGCCCAGACUCCUACGGGAGGCAGCAGUGGGGAAUAUUGGACAAUGGGGGGAACCCUGAUCCAGCCAUGCCGCGUGUGUGAAGAAGGCCUUAUGGUUGUAAAGCACUUUAAGCGAGGAGGAGGCUCUUUUGGUUAAUACCCAAGAUGAGUGGACGUUACUCGCAGAAUAAGCACCGGCUAACUCUGUGCCAGCCGCCGCGGUAA